CGACUUCGUGUGCUCCACGCGAGGGCCGCCUGACGCCAGAGUUUCUCCCGCAUCUGCCAUCAGAGGACCGUCGCCCUCAGGAGCCCGAGCUCCCGCGGCUUCUCCGAAAUUGGAGUUCCAGAAGCCAUCCUUGGAUAACAUCUCUAUAAUCUCCUGGGAGAAUCCUUCUUCGAAGAAAUCCUCCAUCAGAGGAGAGUUCUUGGUCUCAGUCACAUCUGAAAGAGCAAGUGCAAAUGUCUCCUGUUCACUAAGGGUGAGAACACAGACAAGAGCAAGUAGGGGUGAUAGAUCUUGAGUCCAGCCUAUCCAUCAAGGGACCCAAAGGGGUGACCCAUGUGGAACUGGCAUCACAGAAAACAGACAGAGCCCAUUCCCAGGAGGGUCAAGAAGGGAGUUGGGAAACCAUAGGGUUCAACGAGGAGGGAGAUUCUACCAUUACCUUCACACCUAAGUGACUGACCAAGUUCCCUAAAAAAUCGCCUGGACUCACCUGCUUCUACUCUCCACUCUAUCCUGUACUGUCACCAAAAUCUUCCUCCUCAUAUCCUGCAUCCUCUAUCCCAGACAACACCCCGCUCUCCCCACACCACCAUCCAUCCAGUUCUCCAUGCUAGAAUCCUGGGAGUCAACCUCCUCCCUACCUCCCUCAACUUGGCACUAUUUUCAUUUGGUCUCUAUCGAAAUGUCUCAACUCCCUUCCUCUCCUCUCUUUAUCACUGACUCAGCAUCUGACCCCAGGCUGCUCAUUGGUCUCCUGUUUGUCUGUCUCUCUCUCUCUCUAGUCUUCCACACUAGCCCUAAAGGGCUUUGUAGUUAAUGGAUCUGACUAUAUCACUCCUCUGAUUAAACCCUUCCAUGGCUUCCUGCCUGGAGAAAAGAAAUGAGUGUAUUAGCCCAGUGUUCUUUGUGCUGACCUCAUAGAACUCUUGCGGUUCCCUAAAUCCACCAGACUUUCUCCUCUGUGCCUUUAAUGGUCCCUCAUGCUGGAUGGCACUUCCUGGACUAACUCCUCUAAGUCUUUUAAUACCCAGCUUAUCACCCUUCUCUGAAAGGCUUCCCUGACAACCCCAUCCCCAUUCUGCUUUAAGUCCCCUGCCCUGUAUUCUCUGAAAACCAGCUGAGCACUGACCAUCCUCUACCAUAACAGGUUAUGAAAGGGUCUGACCCCUGACCCUUACCAGAAGGUAAGUUCUUUAAUGGGGACCUUCCACUGCUCAUCCAUCCACUGCCACAGAGGCGGCCACGAGAAAGAUUCACAGGACAGAGUAAUUCCCAUUCAUGGUAUGCUUGUUCACAGGCAGGAGUGCCUCAGGCACUCUGUUACACUCGACAACCUCCUGUAAGGUAGGCACGUUUCUGCUUUCUUACAGGUAAGUGAGCAGAAGACUGAGGAUUUGAACCCCUCUGACUAUAUAUAUAUAUAUAUAUAUAUAUAUUUUUUUUUUUUUUUUUGGAGACUGAGUCUUGCCCUGUUGCCCAGGCUGAAGUGCUGCACGAUCUCAGCUCAACGCAACCUCUGCCUCCUGGGUUCAAGUGAUUCUCCUGCCUCAGCCUCCCGAGUAGCUGGGACUGCAGGUGCCCUCCACCACGCCCAGCUAAUUUUUGUAUUUUUAGUAGAGACAGAGUUUCAGCAUGUUGGCCAGGCUGGUCUCGAACUCCUGACCUCAAGUGACCGGCCUGCCUCGCCCUCCCAAAGUGCUGGGAUUACAGGUAUGAGCCACCACGCCUGGCCCCCAUAUUCUUAACUACCAAGCUGUAUGCUCUCUGGGAUCCUUCACAAAACAUGAAUGUCACUGCUCUGCUGUAUGCCUCCAGUCUCCCCAUCUCUCCUCUCCUCCAUCAUCAUACCUUUUCCAGCCUGUCCCUUGUGCAGUUCUUGGCUCACCAUCUGAGUAUCUAUGAGACUGCUUAAAGUCUCUCUGCCUGGAAUUAAAACUUGCAAAUGAAAGCCUUCUGAAACCACAUCUUGUUCUGAAUUGUCACCUUUGCCUCUGCUCAUCUCUCCCACAGAUAUCCAGCUCACUCUCCUCACCACACUUGUGCUCAUGUUGUUCCCUCGGCCUCAAAUGCACCAACAGACAUGUAAUAGGCACCCCUUAUAUGCCAAGCAUGAUGUCAGGAGCUGGGAAUACAGGGUGAAUCAGCUAAGCCCUGCUUCCAAGAGCGGCAUGCUGUUAAAGGGGAAAGACGCUUAUGUGCUCCCAGGACAAGGGGAUGGAAGCCAGCGAGAAGCAGAGUGAAGUCCUGAAGCUGAGCGUUGUAAUGUCUCGGUAGACCUGUGGGAAAGCUGGCUGCAGCCUCAGGAUGGAGGUCUGGAAGACAGAAGGACAUGGAGGACCAUCCAGACACUCAGUGAGAACCUCCUGGCUCUCCUGACUUUUCUAUGCUUUAUCCUGCACGUGGCUCCUGUGUGUGGACGAGGUGCUGCACUGGGCGACUCUGGGGAUGCCUGUCCUGUAGGGUUCCCAGUCCAGUGAUGGAGAGGGAGCCAAACAAUCACAAUCCAGGGUGAUCAAAGCUGUGACAGCUGGGGCUGGGGAUACAAAGGACUUGUGACAGCUCUUUAAUGGGCAGGAUCUGCCAGGUGGAGAGGCACGUACUUCCUUAGCCAUUCAUGAUUUAUUCACUGACCCAUGGGCCACACAUUGCCUGAGGCCUCCAUGGGCCAGGGACAGAAAAUGUCAGGGUCCCAGAGCCCAAGCAGUCCUGAGCCAUACCCUCCACAAGCUUCCCCAAGGAAGGGAACAGAGUCACCAUCCAGGAGGGAUACAGGCCACAGCGGAGAAAACGCCACUGCUGUCUUUGAAGACUGAGAAGCCAUGAGUCAAGCAAUACAGGUGACCUCCAGAAGCUGGCAACGGGCCAGGAAGGACUAUCUACGUGCUGGAGCCUCCAGAAGGAACAUGGUGGCCCUGCCAACACCUCGCCUCCAGCCCAGCCACAUGCAUUUGGAACUCCUGGCCUCCAGGACUGUAACAUAAUAAAAGUGUGCUGGUGGAAGCCACUGUGUUUGUGUUUCAGACCAAUCGGCAAAAGAGGGACAACCCAGCUUCUUCAUGGGGUGACUGGAGGAUUGAACAAGCAAGUCCUAAGAGCUGCUACUCAAUCAUUCAUUAGUUUAGAGCUGUCUGCUGGGCCCUAGAGCAGGUACUGUUCGUUCCAAACACUGGGGACACGCCCUGUCCUCACACAGCUCCCGCUCUGAAUGAUACAAUGGUAGUUAGAACGUGAGGGAGCGACAGACAAGAUGAGUAGGAGAGGAGGUAUGGAGUUCUAACAGGGUCCCAGGUUAAACUUUAAAAAUGUAAGCCCUGAGAGCCGCUUAGGCAGAGGGGAGGGCAACUGGAAGACUUUGAAGUAUCAGCUUGAAGAAUGACUGACUACAAGUAGGAAAGUGGUGAAGACAAGGCUGGGGAGGCAGAUAGGGGCCAGAGCAGGGUUUCCCAGGCUUAGCACUACUGACACUGGCGUGGGCCAAUCCUUGGUUGUGGGGCUGUGCUGUGCACUGUAGGAUGUGUGGCAGCCUCCCUUGGUUCCACCAGCUAGAUGCUAGCGGCACGCUGCGCUGGCCCAAGGAGUAACAAUCAAAAAUGUCUCCACACAUUGCCAAUGUCUCCUCGGCCAGCUGAGAACUGCUGGGCUAGGUCAUGCUGAUUCUGAGGAGCCCAGGAGCCAGGACUUCACCCUGUGGGUGGUAGAGAGCAUGGGUGAUCACCAAGCAGGGCAGUGAGUAGGCCCCUGGGGACAGGCAACACUCACCCAGCAGGAAGAGGUCCUGGCAAUUGUCCAACGCUGUGUCCCAGAACGUGUCCCCCUGUUCCAGCCCGAGCUGCUCCCAGUCUCCCAAGGUGAAGUCCAUGCCGACAUCCUUGAGGGUCACAAAUUCCUGAAACACAGUACACUAUUGGUCACUCAGAGGCUGGGGUCAGGGAGGAGCCCAACAGCUCACUCAGGGCACUCCCAGCCCUCAAUCUGCCAGGGCUUUGGCAAAAACCAUCCCAUCCUCAGCCUCACAAGAAUCUUGAGAUGUAAGAGACUGGAAACCCCUGUAUUUUGUAGGCAAAGAAAAGGACCUUGACUUUGACCAGGGGACAGGAUGUCAACCGAAGUUAACACAGGUGGGACUGAACCCAGGUCUGCCUGAUCCUAAAAAUCUAUUUUACGCUUUUGCUUUAAGUGUUCAUUCAAGACUUAUUUUGUAAACUUUCAAACAUACAUACAAGUAGAGAUGUAUAUAAUUAACACCCAUGAACUCAUCACCCAGGGGUCAUCUGAUUUCACCUGUGAAUACUUCAGUAUGAACAGUAACUCCUUAAUCACUGAACACCUAGACCACAUUCAAAAUCUGUAUACAGAUUAGUCUGACAUCUCAGUGGUGUGUCUUUAUAGCUAGCUCGUCUCAAUCAGAAUCCAGGGGGCCCAUACCCUGUAACUGAUGUG
rnacentral:lncRNA from 10 species